GCGGUGGGUACGGGCAGACUAGAGUGCAGUAGGGGAGACUGGAAUUCCUGGUGUAGCGGUGAAAUGCGCAGAUAUCAGGAGGAACACCGAUGGCGAAGGCAGGUCUCUGGGCUGUAACUGACGCUGAGGAGCGAAAGCAUGGGGAGCGAACAGGAUUAGAUACCCUGGUAGUCCAUGCCGUAAACGUUGGGCACUAGGUGUGGGGGACAUUCCACGUUUUCCGCGCCGUAGCUAACGCAUUAAGUGCCCCGCCUGGGGAGUACGGCCGCAAGGCUAAAACUCAAAGGAAUUGACGGGGGCCCGCACAAGCGGCGGAGCAUGCGGAUUAAUUCGAUGCAACGCGAAGAACCUUACCAAGGCUUGACAUGAACCGGAAUGAUGCAGAGAUGUGUCAGCCACUUGUGGCCGGUUUACAGGUGGUGCAUGGUUGUCGUCAGCUCGUGUCGUGAGAUGUUGGGUUAAGUCCCGCAACGAGCGCAACCCUCGUUCCAUGUUGCCAGCGGGUUAUGCCGGGGACUCAUGGGAGACUGCCGGGGUCAACUCGGAGGAAGGUGGGGACGACGUCAAAUCAUCAUGCCCCUUAUGUCUUGGGCUUCACGCAUGCUACAAUGGCCGGUACAAAGGGUUGCGAUACUGUGAGGUGGAGCUAAUCCCAAAAAGCCGGUCUCAGUUCGGAUUGAGGUCUGCAACUCGACCUCAUGAAGUUGGAGUCGCUAGUAAUCGCAGAUCAGCAACGCUGCGGUGAAUACGUUCCCGGGCCUUGUACACACCGCCCGUCAAGUCACGAAAGUUGGUAACACCCGAAGCCGGUGGCCUAACCCCUUGUGGGAGGGAG
rnacentral:rRNA from 1 species